rnacentral:lncRNA from 1 species
AAUAUAUCAUUUUUCUAAUAAUAUGCAUGACAUCAGUGGAGCAUUGAGGCUAACAAUUGUUGCUGCUAAAUUUUUGUGUUUAUUAUAUAUAUAUAUAUAUAUAUAUGAUACACAAAAAUUUGAUAAAUUUUAGGGGGAGCCAUGGCCCUGCAAGAUCAGUCCCCCUUUAUCCACGCCCCAGACCUUCUUUAAUGGGUUUGAUCAGAUCUUAUCUUAGGAAGAAUAAUAAUAAGUAAGCAAGUAGGUUGCCAAUGGACGACUGGAAAGUAGAACAUUGAAAAAAAAACAAACAAGUUUUGUCAUUCUCAAAUAGGAGGUUCUCAAAACCGAUGUA